GAUGAACGCUGGCGGCGUGCCUAAUACAUGCAAGUCGAGCGAACGGACGAGAAGCUUGCUUUUCUGAUGUUAGCGGCGGACGGGUGAGUAACACGUGGAUAACCUACCUAUAAGACUGGGAUAACUUCGGGAAACCGGAGCUAAUACCGGAUAAUAUUUUGAACCGCAUGGUUCAAAAGUGAAAGACGGUCUUGCUGUCACUUAUAGAUGGAUCCGCGCUGCAUUAGCUAGUUGGUAAGGUAACGGCUUACCAAGGCAACGAUGCAUAGCCGACCUGAGAGGGUGAUCGGCCACACUGGAACUGAGACACGGUCCAGACUCCUACGGGAGGCAGCAGUAGGGAAUCUUCCGCAAUGGGCGAAAGCCUGACGGAGCAACGCCGCGUGAGUGAUGAAGGUCUUCGGAUCGUAAAACUCUGUUAUUAGGGAAGAACGUAUGUGUAAGUAACUGUGCACAUCUUGACGGUACCUAAUCAGAAAGCCACGGCUAACUACGUG
rnacentral:rRNA from 1 species